GAUUAGCAUGCUAGUCGCACGAGUUCAGACUCGUGGCGAAUAGCUCAGUAACACGUGGCCAAACUACCCUUCGGAACACAAUACCCUCGGGAAACUGAGGCUAAUAGUGUAUACCAUACCACCACUGGAAUGAGUGGUAUGCCAAACGCUCCGGCGCCGAAGGAUGUGGCUGCGGCCGAUUAGGUAGACGGUGGGGUAACGGCCCACCGUGCCAAUAAUCGGUAUGGGUCAUGAGAGUGAGAACCCAGAGACGGAAUCUGAGACAAGAUUCCGGGCCCUACGGGGCGCAGCAGGCGCGAAACCUUUACACUGCACGACAGUGCGAUAGGGGGAUCCCAAGUGCACAGGCAUAGCGCCUGUGCUUUUCGGUACCCUAAGGCGGUACCAGAAUAAGGGCUGGGCAAGACCGGUGCCAGCCGCCGCGGUAAUACCGGCAGCCCAAGUGAUGGCCGAUCUUAUUGGGCCUAAAGCGUCCGUAGCUGGCCGCGCAAGUCCAUCGGGAAAUCCACCUGCUCAACAGGUGGGCGCCCGGUAGAAACUGCGUGGCUUGGGACCGGAAGGCGCGACGGGUACGUCCGGGGUAGGAGUGAAAUCCCGUAAUCCUGGACGGACCGCC
rnacentral:rRNA from 1 species